rnacentral:rRNA from 1 species
AUUGAACGCUGGCGGCAGGCCUAACACAUGCAAGUCGAACGAGUGGCGGACGGGUGAGUAAUGUCUGGGAAACCGCCCGAUGGAUGGGGAUAACUACUGGAAACGGUUGCUAAUACCGCAUACCAUCGGAUGUGCCCAGAUGGGAUUAGCUAGUAGGGGGGGUAACGGCUCACCUAGGCGACGAUCCCUAGCUGGUCUGAGAGGGUGACCAGCCACACUGGAACUGAGACACGGUCCAGACUCCUACGGGAGGCAGCAGUGGGGAAUAUUGCACAAUGGGCGCAAGCCUGAUGCAGCCAUGCCGCGUGUAUGAAGAAGGCCUUCGGGUUGUAAAGUACUUUCAGCGAGGAGGCGUUACUCGCAGAAGAAGCACCGGCUAACUCCGUGCCAGCAGCCGCGGUAAUUC